rnacentral:rRNA from 1 species
GACGAACGCUGGCGGCGUGCUUAACACAUGCAAGUCGAACGGAAAGGCCCUGCUUUUGUGGGUUGCUCGAGUGGCGAACGGGUGAGUAACACGUGAGUAACCUGCCCUUGACUUUGGGAUAACUUCAGGAAACUGGGGCUAAUACCGGAUAGGAGCUCCUGCUUCAUGGUGUGGGUUGGAAAGUUUCGGCGGUUGGGGAUGGACUCGCGGCUUAUCAGCUUGUUGGUGGGGUAGUGGCUUACCAAGGCUUUGACGGGUAGCCGGCCUGAGAGGGUGACCGGCCACAUUGGGAAUGAGAUACGGCCCAGACUCCUACGGGAGGCAGCAGUGGGGAAUAUUGCACAAUGGGCGGAAGCCUGAUGCAGCAACGCCGCGUGCGGGAUGACGGCCUUCGGGUUGUAAACCGCUUUCGCCUGUGACGAAGCGUGAGUGACGGUAAUGGGUAAAGAAGCACCGGCUAACUACGUG